GAAUUGAUGAGAUUUUUUCUUAAUUCAUGGGAUAUGUCUCGUAUUAAAGAAUCUCAUGAUUAAGAGAAAAUCAUGUAAUUGAUUAGCUUAAUUAGUGCUUGUAUUAAGGACCAAUUUAAGAAAUGCCAUAUAUCUUGUAUUUUCCAUUAUAAAUAUAGACUCUUAUAUAUUAUGCCAAGCACAAAUAAAUGAAAAUGUAAUUUUUUGAGAUUCAUUCUAAUUCUCUCCCUUUCUCUCCCUUU
rnacentral:misc_RNA from 1 species